UGUUGGGUGUGGGCAACAUUCAUUCGUCCAUGUUACAUUGAAUUAACAUUGGCCAUGUUUGGUUCGCUUUGUAAUGGGAAUAAGAUGCAGUUCUUAGAAUAAUCUUACAUUUUAUUGUUUGGUACACAAGGAAUACAAAGUUUUUAUGAUCCUUAUAUAUGAAUAACUUGAACGUAUAUGCAAAAGACAUCUACUUUUAAGUAAGAUUUUUAAUAUUAUUAAAUUCUAUUUAUUUGUUGCAAAAAUAUAAUUGUAAAAGCAUUUCUAUUAUCAAGACCCUUAGGACAACAAACAAUUUAGGGGGAAGGAAGGGAUAGAGAAAGAUCCAUUGCUAAAUUAGGCUUUACAAAUAAUUGAAGUUUGGAGUGAUGUGGGAGAAAUGAAAAGAUAAGGACCAAGAGAAGAGGCUUUACAAUGUUUUUUAUGUACGUGCUAACCGAUAUGAACCUUGCCGGGGCCCAGGCACCCAGCAUCAUACAUUACAUGAAUUGCCAAAAAUACCUUGUAUUGUUAACCUGCAAAGGUAAUUUAUAUGAUUUUCUUGUAGUGAUAAAGAAAUCAAAUUUACAGUUAUAACAUAAAUGGGAUGAAAUAUUGAUAAGCACGUCAGAUUUCUGGUAUUCCUUGUUUCUUUUGUAAUAAUCUCCAGAGCUACUAUUGCAUGUACAGCUCAUGGAGAUUGGGUUGCAUGUAUCUCAGUACAAGGAAAUUUUUUAGAUUUUAUGAAAGAAAAACAUCUCAUACUGCAGUUUUCUGCUUCCCAGUUAUCCCACCUAAUGUUGCAUUGUUUGUGGAUGCUCAAAUAGUAUCGUGUCACAUCAGGUGGAUAAAAAUCUGACACUAAAUUAUAGAAGCCUGAGUAUAUAGCUCCGCAAUUACUUUCUGCACAAUCGGUCAUUCUGUUGUUUACUAAAGCCCAGGUCUUUAAUAAUGACACUAAUUGCAUAUGCUGAUUAAAGAACAUAUGGAAGUGCUUCUCGCAUGCAUUUUUGUUACCAUAUUAUGAGCUUGUUCCCCACCUUUGUAUGAUCGUGACUUAAAACGUGCAGGCGGGAUAUGCUGAGAAGAUAGCAAAUGUAUGGGCAAAGGUUGCAGAAGAGACUAGUGCAUAUGCAAGAGAGAGCACUUGAAUGCCUGGGUGGGUGUGGUUGUAAAUUCCAAUCUUCUGCUCUUUUAUUUCUCUUUUCUUUAUAUUGUUAUUGCUCACUGCUAGGAAAUGGUAUAAUCAUUUGAAUCAAUAAAGAAAAGAGAAGUUUGUAGAAAUUUCACUUUUGUUUACUAAUGAGGUUGUUUUUGGUUUUAACACAUCCUGAAAUGCUAAUUUGAUGUUGUAAUUUGCUUUAUUACCUCUUUGAAGUUAUCGAGGGUUUUGAGUUACUGAUUUUGAGAUCUCAAUUUAAGAUGAUUGAAUCAUCACAUUUG
rnacentral:misc_RNA from 1 species